AUAAAGUUACAGAGAAAUCUAGUAUGUAUUUAAUUGGAUUUUGCUAAGGUUCAGGUUUUCGUUAAGGUUCGAACGGCUCCAAAGAGAGGCUCUGCCUCUGUGUGGCUUUGGGAAUCCUGAAUGUUUUACUUUUGGCUGAACUCAUCGCCAUCAGUGUGACAGUGAGUCUUCUUCAAGAUGAGUAAAUUUUAAUACAGUAAAUUUUAUGUUUCUGUGAUAAAAAUGUCAUCGGCUCUUCUGAAAUCAAACUGACCAAAUAACAAGGGUUUGAAAAGUAUAAAGCUUGGUGUCUCAAAGUGUUGCAGAGAGGUGAAUCUGUGUUACGUGAGUUUGAUUCAUUUUGAGCAUUGGAUGCAUUUGCAGCCAUUUAGGUUAGCAUGUCUUUAAUAUCUCCUCUUUUUCCACUAUUUACCCAACAAUUUAUUGUUCAUUGUUGCCUCAGUUUAAGUUCUACAGCCAUAACCAAAAUCAUAAAACUAUUUUAUAAGUCUUAAGUGAAAAUUCGAUGCGACUUUUAUUUUUGCAAACAUGCUUGUUGAUUUUUUUUUCCAGCUCAUGACAUGACAGCAGAUUUUUCUGACAUUAGUAACUUUCUGACUGAGCAGAACAGCGACAGCAAGUUUCCCUCCACGAACGCUAACUUCACUGAAACGACUCCACGAGAUGAAGAGACUUUAAGAACGGACAAACAUCAGUUGUUCCUGUUAAUCUGCAGAAGAAGAAAGGAGCAAAUCCAGGAGAGAUUUAUGAUUAGGAUUUGUGUUCAGUGUGAUAUUAUUUACCAACAAUCAUGUAGCUUAUUACCAUGGUGUUACAUAAAACCUAAAGAUAAAAUCUACACUUGUUGUGGCUUAUAAAGCAACAAUUUUACCGGUUGUACUCCAUGUUUUUCUUUCAUGUUAAAACUCUGACAUGAUAAACAAACGUUGGAGGAUCGGUUCAGCAUGAGGCGUUCUGAUUGUCUCUUAAUGUGACUUUUACUAGGAGACUUUAUGGAACUCCAUUGGUGCCCAGUCAUAAAGAAACA